UUUUUUUUUUGGUUUCAUUGCAACUCAGAGGAUUUUCUUCUCCAUGUCUGGAAUGUCGAAGAACUUUUUAGAGUAUUUGCUGAAAUGUUGUUUUCUCCGAACAUCUUUUUGUUUCUUCAAACAGGGAGUUUUGCUUUCACUUUGUUUGGCCUUCAUAUAUUUUGAUAUGAAAAAGCAUCCAUUUUCCUUCCUUCAGAUGCUCAGUGAUAGAAAAUCUCCAAUUUUCCUUGAGAUUUUCUCAGCUAUCACACAGAUAGUGCAGUUUUCACGUAUCUUAUUUUUGUUUUGUACGAUUUAACCAGAGCUGUAUCGGAUUUCAUAAAUUUUAUCUUUCUGCAUUUGCACAAUUUUUUCCUAAAUUUAGAUAGGAUAACUUUCAAUUUUCUGAUCACGAAUUUAUUUUCUGCCAAUUUCCAAAAAAAAAAAAAACUUUUCUUCUUUUUGUUGCUAUAAUUAGUGGUAAGUUAACUGCGGUUAAUAGUAAUGGAAAAAGUUUAACCUGAGUUAAUUAAUUUUUGUGUUUGAUUGGAUAUUACAGGUGCGCGUGGUGUAUAUAAAAACCAGAGAUGGAGAAAAAUUCGAGAGACGGAUCACUACUGAGAUCAGCUCAGAACCAUCAGAAAGAGACGAAGUCAGCUGCUGCUACGACGUCGUCUGAUUUCGUGUUACAGUGGGGGAACCGGAAAAGACUUCGGUGCAUGAAGGUACAGAAUAAGAAUAUUAGUCAUAAAAGUAAUAAUAAUGACUCGGCCGAUUCAGUGGCGGUUCAGAGAACUCCGGUUCGAGUUGAUCGACGGGUUGUGAGAUCUGAUCUAAACAAGGACUCCGGCAAUCAACCCGCUACCACCAACACUGCCAAUAGUAACGGUUAUUUGAAUCUCCGGCAGCGUGGAGCGUCCCCUUCUCAUCGGAAUCUCAGGUAAAUUUUUUUCUCCUUUUUUCCUUCUGAAAAUGCUUGUUUAGCGCGUGAUUGUACACGCUCCGGCGUGCUGUGAGGUCAGUAACGGCAGAUUAAUGGAUCGUAAUAUAAUGUGUAGUGCUCUUUCUCUCUUCAUUUUCUAGUAUAUCUAAAUUUUGUAUUUUUAAAAAAAAAAAUUGGAACCUUAUUAAUUACUCCCUCCCUCAGUUUGGGUGGGCACGGAAUUUACAAAAAAAAAAUACUAAAGAUUGUUAAAAUUUGUGAUGGUGUAUUACAAAUUAGACUAUAACAUUUGAAGUUUGAAUUUAAAUUAUUUCUAAAUAUAAUAUUUUCUUGUUCUUUUUAUGACAGACUAUAAAAAGAAAGGAAAUCGAAUAAUAGAGAGUAUUUAUUUAUAUAUAAAAGAGAAGAUUAUAGUAGUACAAUUUUCAGAAAUAUAUACUUUAUAUGUAAAACGCAUAUCAAAUAUUUUGUCAUAAGUUUGGAAAAAGCUUACAGUACCGAAAAGCAUAAAAUCUUAGUCAAUUUAAACAAAUAUGAAGCACACUUUUCAUUAUGUGAAAAAGUUAAAAUCACAAAACCAAAAAAAAAAAAAAAAAAAAAAGUAGGACAUGAACAGGGUAUUGACAACAUAGGGGUUCAUAAAAUAUUAAGUUGUUGUAAGUUGGUAUAGCCUUAUUCAGCGUUUGCACAUAAGAAUUGUAAAAUUUCAAAAAAUAAUAAAUUUUUUCUUCAAAUGAAAAUGAUAUUUGAAAAUUAGAAUUAUAUUUGGACAUGAAUAUCAUUUUGGGCUGUUUUGAAUUUUUGUAAAGGAUCUGAAUUGAAAAUUUUGAAAAUUAACUUUUUGAAAUUUUUUAAAUUUUCAAAAAAAAUUGAAAUUCAUCUAAAAUUGAAAAUAUUAUGACCAAAUAUUGAUUUCGAGAAAAAAUAAAAAAAUUGUAUGGCCAAACGGUCUCUUAGUUUAACGUUUUUUAUCACCACUACAUGUGAGCUGGUUUUAUUGUACGGCUUGAAGGGUAGGUUAUUAUUAUUGUUAUAAAGAAAUUCUAUUCUCACGUUGAGAGGUGAAGAAAAGAAAAAGGAGGCAGUAUAAAUUUUAGUGCGGAAAACAUACAGUGAUACAACUAGACUCGUGAGCCUGGGUAAUAAUGGGUGAGCUUUUCUUCGCUGGAAAUUAAUUGUGAGUGCUCACGUUUUGUAAGCUUAAUAAUAUAUAAUACAACAACCCGUUUUGUAAGCUUGAUAGUACCAGUUUUCAGAGUUGCUCUAAAAAGAGGAAGGGUUUUGAAUGAAAUGAUUGAAACGCAAGUGCUAAUGUCAUUGAUUCAUCACGAUAGCUUGAAUGAGGUGGAUUACUACAUUAAAUAUGGUCUUUAAUAUAUAUUAUUUGGCAGAUAAACUGUAUUUGAAGUUAAGCUCCUGUGUUACCUCUCUCUAUUUGGAUCUUUUUUUUUUCUUUGGUCAAAUAAUUGGUUCUGUUUGGGUUGAAUAAUCAAAUCAAUUGACCUUGACAUUGUCUCUCUUUGUGUUUCUAGCUCUUGUUUUGAUGGGCGUUGAUCAUAUAAGAUUGGAUUCUUUAAAAUGUCUGAAUUCUCUCGGCUAUAACUCUCCUCCAGAUUAGAUAUAGUGAAUGCCAAAAAAAAAUAAAAAAAUGGAGGUGAUUUGCUCUUAUCCGCUUAAGUUUUUGGGGACAUAAUUACUCUUUCUUGUCAUGUCAUAGGAUAUAUUUAAAAAUAUAGUAUAGGUUAUGCACCAAGGUAUAGUUUCAACGUUUCCACAAUAUAGGUGAAGAAUGAACUAAGUAAAAGAAAAUAUAUUUUAAAAAUUAAUUGAUUUUAUAUGUUGAGAUAUUGGAUGGGCAAAUGGUGGAUUGAUUGUAGAACAUGUGAAGCUGAAGAAAUUCCUACUUUUAAAUCGUCAUACUCAAGAAGGGGCUUAGGUAUGUGGGUCCACCUUUUCUUCACAAUUGAUACCAUCCCACAGCCAUUACUAUUCCAAUCUUGUAAUCAAGACACGUAACCUUCUCUACAAUUCCAAUCGAACGGCUCCUACGUUGCCAUUACACCCUACUUUUUCCUCUUUCACUUAUUUUUUUCUUCCAAUCUGGGACUAAUAAUCCACUACUAUACCCAUUAUUCAUAUUCUCUCUCUUUGGAUUCACUUUCACAGGUCCAUCUUCUUUCUCUCCUUUAUAGUUCCCAUCUACCUUCCCAAAACACCCAUUUUGACGAAUCUCAGAUCUAGACCAACGCUAAGGUUAUUUUGGUAAUUAAACUUAUUUGCUAAAGUUUUUAUUAUUUUAACAAUUCAAAAAAAAAGGUAAAGUACUUUUUGUUUUUUUAUUGUUAUAUGACGAAUUGGGUUUUUGUUAUUCUCAGGAAUUCAGAGAGUACAAUUGCGAUGAGAGAAAGGAGCAUCGGGUUAAGAGGGAUGGCUUCUCCAGACAAAGUGGGUGCGCACGAUAAGCGAGGUAGUGCGCACGUUAACCACCACCACCACCACCAAAACAGUAAGACAAACAAUAAUGAUGAUGUUAGUAACAACCACAACCACCACCACCACGGUGCAGGGGGUGGGUCUGCAUCGUCGGAAACAGCGCACGAUAGCAAGAAAGGCGGAGGAGGUGGGUCCUCAUCGGGGAGCGACGCGAUUCCGAUGGUAUGGCCACCGAAGUUUGUGAUCGGCUUAACAAACAAGGAGAAAGAGGAGGAUUUCAUGGCCAUCAAAGGGUCUAAGCUACCUCAACGACCCAAGAAAAGAGCCAAAUUCAUUCAACGCACCCUCAAUGUAAGCUUUUGCUUUUCCCCUUUCUUCUCCGUUACUCCAUUAUUUAUUUUUAUUCGUUCCUAACUUUUUCCCCCUAACUUUACUAAAUAAAACUUUGGUAAUAGGGUCAUGAUAGUAACAUUUUGAGUUAAUGAUAUGUUUUGAGCUCUAUCUGAACCAAUACAAAUUAAAAUAUUUUUGAGAAAAAGAAACUUCUAUUCUAAGUUAUUAUUCCAUUAAACAAAAUUUGGGGUUUGCUGUUAAUUAAAUUUUUGUACUAAAUCAGAUUUAUAUUGAAUAGGUCUCUCGAAAUAAUCAAAUGGACUGUACGUUUUUAAAAAAAAAGACUGUACGAUUGUGGUAUCUUAAUUAUUGUUUUUUAAAAAAAGGAAUUGUAUUUUGGAUAGUGGUAUUUGGUGGGGCUACGAUAUUUAUGGAUGCGUAGCUUUGGCUUCUUCCUCAUGGGGACAUAAAUAGCUAAGAUAAAAAAGUAUAAACAGAGCUAUAAGGACGGCAAGUGGGGGUUUUCGGGGGACACGUGUUAGCUUUUAGGCACGGAUUCUUCUGCGUAUACUGGGGCACCACUAAAAUUUUGGAGAAUGUUUGGUAAAACUUUGAAUAACAUUAUUUUUUAAAAUUUGUAUUAGUUAAAAAAAUUACUAGUUUAAUUUAAAACUGACUCGGAAGAGGACAAAAACUUGGAGCAACUCUAGACAUAUUAUCUUAAAUGAUUUGAAUAGUAUUAAUAACAUAUUAUAAUGCCUAUAAGUUUUAAUUUUAAGCUCUUACGGAUCCAGGAGUAGUUUCCUUCCCUUCCCAUGUUAAUAGUAAGCGUAAUUACGUAUAAUUUGUUUGAAAAGCUAUGGAAUAUUAUUUAAUUAAUCAACUAAUAAGCUUCGUAUUCCAAUUAUUAUGUAGCUGAUAAGUCCAGGGGCAUGGCUUUGUGAUUUGUCCUUGGAGCGAUAUGAAGUUAGAGAGAAGAAAGUAACCAAGAAGGUAUCAUUUAUGAAAUUAAUUUCCAUUUCCAUUUCUAUUUCAAUUUUGGGGGUUAGGAUAAUAGAAUAUUUCGUCGUAAUUUUGCAGAGACCAAGAGGGCUAAAAGCUAUGGGAAACAUGGAAUCUGACUCGGAGUAGACUUUCUUCUGUUUGGAAAUGUUUCAUUGAGUUAAAAAAGGAAAAGGCAAAAACGAAAAAAGAAAAAAACCACGUGAAUGAAAAUAUGAGCUCUUGGUAUUCCUCAAGAUCAAUGUACUUCUUCAUGGUUUUUCGCCUUGGCAUCAAUUAUAAGAAGAAAAAUGUUUAGCCAUAUAUAAUUUUCGCUCUAUUUUAAUUUGUUUCCCUACAAGUUUUCCUUCCGACAAAUAUAAAAGAUAAAGAUAGGAAAUAAAUAAAAUCAUGACCUAAAGCUUCUUUUUCCUUGUUUCUUCAAUCUUUCCGAACCAAGAAAACAAUGUAAGAAACUGAAAAUUGCAAAAAAGUAACGGAAAAGUUUAAAUUUGGAGAUUGAAAAUAUGUCAAUUUUAAAGAAUUUAAGCUAAUAAUUUUAAAAAAUAAAUAAAUUACCUUUUACUUCGAACGAAAAGGAAGAAUAGUUGGAUUAUAUUGGUCAAGUUGGAUUCUGUUAUUUGUACCAUUUGUCUAUUUUUCAAGUCUAUUUUCCAAUUCGUCUCCCAUUAGAUUAUGACUCUGUUACUUGUUCCAUUUUAAUCUAAUCAUUUUAACUAAAGCAAACUUUGAAAGUAUUGAGAAUGAUUCAUUUAUUGAUUAAUGAUCUCUCCAAAUUUUAAUUCAACUCAUCCUUUAACGUAUUUUCACUUAGAACGAAUUUUCAAAAAGGAUACUAAAGAUCUUCGUAUCCAUGGGCAAAAUCGAAGGAAACUAAACGCCAAAGGACAAAUUAAGGAACAACUUUGCCUGCCCUUUAUUUUGGCGUAUUUAUUAAAGAUUUGAUACAUUAAUUAUUUAUGUAAUAUAUGGGCGUUACGCAAUCUCACGCUGGCCCUUUAACAUUUUGGUCUUUUAUAAACGUCACUAAAAUGAAAGUCUUUUGCCUUUUUUUUUUGGAUGUUAAAAAACAUUGAAAGUCGUAUAUUCUUGCGGUAAAAUAAAGUAAGAAAAACAAGGAUCAUUCUCUUACAUGCGUUUGUUUGAUAACAGAAGAUGUUUCAGAACAGGUUUGUAGCAUUUCCCUUCUAUAUAAAAAAUCCCUACGGAAGUGAAAUAGCCAGCAGGCAGCAUAGACUUGCAUCCAACUUCAAAAUGCUCACCAAGAAAUAACUUGGAAACGAAAUUACUACUUAUGUGAACAUAUUUUCCUUUUUGGUCCGUUCCAAAAAUAAUGACCCUUUUUUAAAAUUGAAAACAAUUUAGCUUAAAUUUCCAAUUCUACCCUUAAUGAGAAGCUUUUAUAAUCAACAAAUACUUUGGACCCCUUUCUGACAUGUUUAGGACUACAAAUUCCAAAAGUCUUCAUUUUUUUUAAACUACGUGCUCAGUCAAACAGGUUCACAAAAAUAAGAACAAGAACGAAGUGAGUACUUGUUUAUAUUGUCUGAGGAUCAAGUCUAGGGUAAAAUAUCCGCGAACACAUUUAUUUGAGUACAUACCAAAACAUAAGAAUUUACCAUACAACCACAUUAUCUUAUUGAAGUGGUUCCAACUUAUAGUAAGACAUACUUUUCGUAAUGGUAUGGUAUUUAGAAAAGAAACGGCUAUGUGAAGCAAAUAGCACUAAUUCAGCAGCCACUGUAAAUCUUGAUUUCUGAAAUCUUAGUUGAAAUUUACUCUGACGUUUUCUAAUUUGAAGCUCAUUUUCAAAUAUUUUGAUUCAAUUCCAUUUAAAGAAAACUUUACAAUAUGUGCUACUCAACCAUGUUUCCAACUCUCCACCAACGCCUAUCCAAAGCAGCAUGAUGUGUCCGAUAUUUCAGGGGGGGCGUCAACUGUAGAGUUUUUGACCAAAAUUAUCUUUACCACCGUUUCACCAUAACUUUCAUUAAAUCCUUAUAAUAUUUCAUUUAAUAAGGAAACAUCUUUAAGUUUUUCAAAGUUAACCAAAAAUAUCCCUUUGUUAGAUUUUCCAUCACCUGUAACAGAAACUUUAUUAAUCACGUGACCCCUUUUUUUUCUCUCCCUUUUUUCACAAUCUUCUUUCCUUCCUUUCUAUGAAGAAAACAUGCACAUGACUUUUUUGGAAACUUUCAGACAGGAUUUGUAAUGGUUGUACCAUUUGUUCGAGUGAAGCUUUCACUGCAAAAGCAGAGAUGGUACUACAUUACCUUUGCCCACUUCCUGAACAUUAUAUGAACUAACUGCCUCAGAAUUUGCAGACCUACAAGAAGAACUUGGCCCACAUGAAACCGCAAAUUUAAACUUUUUUUAUUAUACCAAGAUGAAAAAAGGAAGUACAAUUUUCACAAUAUGGUGGACUUUUUUGGAAAUAGAGCUGAUCAGGUUAGAGAAUGAUUGCUGAUAACGAUGGGGCUAUCAGAACCAAUAUUAACAAAAUUAGAGUUUAUUACAUGAGGUACCUCAAACUCCAAAACUGUAUCCUUAGGCAAAAGGCCAGAGUGAAGUGGUUUACAGAUGGCGAUUCUAAUUCUGCCUAUUUUCAUAGUGUAAUUAAAAAUUGGAGAAGGAGAUUGAGCAUCAACAAAAUUCAGGAUGAAUAUCACCAAUAGGACGUAUCUAAAGCUGCAAUUAGGUACUUCCACGGAUUUGUUUUGCCAGAAGCCUGAUCAUAAUGACUUCUCUGAUCUGGAUGCCAUUGAACCUAUGAUCACUGAGAUAUCAACAAUGAGCUGAUUGUUAUUCCUUCUAUGGAGGAUAUAAAGACUUGUAUAUUUUCAAUGGACCCUAACAGUAGCCCCGUGUCUGAUGGAUUUAUUGCUAAGUUUUUCCAGGUGGCCUGGACUUUGUUGCUCCAACCUUAGUCUUGGCCUUAAAAUCUUUCUUUUGUGGGGCUAGUCUACCCAAGUGGCUCACACACACUUGUAUCAUUAUGUUGCUCAAAGUGUCCUCUCCCCAGUAUUUUAAUGAUAUAAGGCCUAUUAGUUUGUGUAAUAUUGCGAGCAAGAAUUUUGCUAAACUUCUCAAUUCUAGAUUGUCAAAGCUACUGCCCAACCUUAUUAGUGGGAACCAAAAUGGUUUUGUUAAAGGAAGGUUUAUAACUGAAAAUAUUAUACUUGCUCGGGAAAUCAUUCAAGAUAUUUCUAAGCCCAAUAAAAAUGGCAAUGUUGUGUUGAAAGUAGACAUGGCUAAAGCUUAUGUUAGAGUUUCUUAGUUUUUUUUUAUGUGCUUCGAUGAGGAGAAUGGGGUUUAAUGAAAUAUGGAUUGAUAUGAUGUUUAAGCAUGUCUUUAGUAAUUGGUAUUCUCCACUUGUCAAUGGUAAUAGACAAGGUUUCUUCAAAUCUGAAAGAGGACUUGGGCAAGGAGCUCUCAUUUCCCCUUCCCUUUUUGUCCUAUGUGCUGAAUUUCUAACCAGGAAGUUACAGGAUGUAUCUAUUCAUAGAGAAUUCACUGGAUUCUAUAUGAAUAAGAAGGGUCUUAUAAUUAAUCACCCUGCAUUUGCUAAUGAUGUUAUUCUUUUUUCUAGUGGGUGCAGGAAAUCCUUGGAGAUGCUUAUGGAGGCAUUAUCAGUAUAUGAGAAAGUUUCUAGACAGUUGGUGAAUUAACAGAAGUCUUGUAUCAUAUUGUCUCCUAAUGCAACUGCAGAAUUAAUUCAAAGGGUAAUGGAGAUCACAAGAAUGGAAUACAAGGAACUACCUAUCAGGUACAUUGGUUGUCCUCUAUAUGUUGGGAGGAAAAAGACAGCUAUUUUCUCAGACUUGGUCGCCAAAGUAUUGCAAAUGAUAUCAGGAUGGCAUGCCAAACUUUUGUCCACAGGUGGUACAACGGUAUUGAUCAGACAUGUCUUGCUUGCUUUGCCAAUUCAUCUCCUGUCAGCCAUACACCCUCCCAAGGGAGUCUUACAUCAGAUAGAGAUGAUGUUGGCAAAAUUCUUUUGAGGAGGUUCAGACGAGAAGGAAAAAUUUCACAGGGCUUCCUGGGAUAGUUUAUGCUUCCCAUACAGUGAUGGAGGAGUUAAUUUCAGAAAAUUACAAGAUACAUGUAAUUAUUUCAUAGCAAAGCAAUUGUGGAUUUAAGGACCAAUGAUUCACUAUGGAAGAAGUUUCUUAAGAGUAAAAACUAUCAAAGAUCACAUCCUUUAAUCAAGAAAAGGUAUUCUAGGCAUUCCCAUACUUGGAAUGCUAUGUGUAAGAUUAAAAGAAAGGUGGAUAUGCACAUAUUGUGAAAGGUUGGGAAAGGGAACACUGCCUUUUGGUUUGAUAACUAGACCAAUCUUGGUCCACUAUACAAUUUUCUGCUAGAAGGAAGUAAGCCUACAAACAUUAAGCUCUCCGAAGUACUGGUGAAUUAUCAAUGGUGGUGGGGAGGAUGGGAUAGCUUAAUUCCUUUGACUCAAUGAAGCUUAAACUGAGACCUGCUGAAUUUAAUUCCCAGUUUGGACUGUUGAUGAGAAAAGUACAUUCUCUGCGGCUUCAUCUGGGCACUUAUUCAGAAGGAAAGAGCAAAAUUCAUCGAUUGAUUCAAAGACUUGGCAGAAACAGGUGCCAUUCAAAAUGAGUUUUAUUGUUUGGAGGGCCUUGAGGAUAAAAUCUCAUCUGGUGCCAGAAUUCUUAGGAUGAGGUUCUCUAUUUCUUCUAGAUGUUAUUGUUGUAGAAUUCCUAACCUUGAAACAAUAGAUCGCCUUGUUUGUUCUGGAGUUUAUGCUCAAGAAGUAUGGAAAAUUAUAUGUGGCCCUAGAGGUACUAUAUUGGAAUGUCCUUUAGGCAACUAUUGUUAAAUUGGUGGAAAUUUAACGCUCAAAACCUAGUUAAAGCCCUUCUGUUGAACAGUUUACCUAUCAUCACAAAAUAGAAAAUUUGAAAAGCCAGGUGUGGAGUCAAAUAUGAUUCAAGAGAAUCAAUGUAAGGAAGACCAUAUCUCUUAUCUUUUUCUCCAUCUCUAAGGCGGUGAAUACUCAAUUCCUUAGGUUCAGAAUCAAGCCUGAAUGGAACAACAUCUCUCAAUUAUUCCAUACAACUAUCUAUUUCAAGAAGACUAUCAUAACCAAGUAGAACAAUCCCACCCACCCCCACCCCCCGAACUGUUUGUUAAGCUUAAUUCUGAUGGAAGUUGUAGGAAUGGCUAUUGUGAGGGAGGAGUAGUAGUAAGAGACAUUAUGAGGUUGAUCUAUGCGUACACUAUAAACUUAGGUCAUGUAACUAGUAACUGGGUAGAAGCAAUGUCCUUGUUAUUUGGUAUCAAGUGGUGUAUUGAGAGUGAUUUCCACAAUAUCUUGGCAGGAAGUGAUUUCAAACUCUCGGUAAAUUAUGUUAAUGGAAGCACUACUACACUCCAUGGAGAAUAACAUAUCAAGUUAAUGAGCUUAGAAGAUUGAGGGGACAUAGAGUUUUUAAUUUGAAUCAUUAUUUCAGGGAAAGCAAUCAAGUUGUUGAUAAACUGUAGCUUUGAGCUAUGAUUCAUUACAAACUCAAGUGUUCCGGUCUUUUGUUGAUUUACCAACACAAGUAAGAGGUCUUAUGAACAUGGAUAGUUGGAAAUUACCUACAAUUCGAAUUGCUGAUAAAAGAAGAGCAAAGAUUACCUUCGAGCCUCCUUGAAGCGUGUUGCUGGUCGUAGUUGUAGGAGUUUUUAGCAGAAUAUCUUUUUAUAGGAUGGAUACUUUUCGUCUAUCUGUAUGUAAGGUCUGAGUAUCCAUCCCCUUGUGUAAUCUUGCAUCUUUUUGUCACAAGGAUAUCAUAGGCUUCCUUUCAGUUUAGACGAGGGUGCUUCUUUGAUUUAAAUCAUCUCCCUCAACUCUUUGUACUUCCUUUUGAUUAUGACUAAUAAAGUUUAAAAAAAAAGGUACGUUUUAAUUUAAAUGGCACACUUUCCUUAUUAGUCAAUUCAAAAAAGAAUGACAUAAUUCUAUAUUAAAAAAUAAUUUAACUUUAAACUUUUCAUUAUAUCCAUUUUACCCUUAAUAAGAAGUUUUUAUAGCCACACAAAUAUUAUGGUCCCAAUAAGAUUUUGUCCCUUAAGCUUUUAGCACUAUAUGUCUCAAAAGUUUUAUUUUUUUCUUAAACUUUGUGUCAAGUCAAACUAUAACGUCUAAAUUGAACAGAGGAGAGUAACUAUUACAUGCAUAAGAGAGAGAAACAGAGAGCAUAUAUAGAGAGAGAAGUAAAGAACCACUGUGUGUGUGAACUUUCCAAAAAUACCAUAAUAUCCUCUUCAGAUCCGUUUAUUUUUCUCUGAACAUAUUCCUGAUCCCUUUCAUCACUCUUCAAUCUCAAAAGCUGAAAAUUUUUAUUUGAAAAAUUAGCUCUCUUUUAAUUUAACUCAUUUCUAUUUACAUUCAUCCACUGUGUCAACUUAGCAUGCGUCACUUUUUCUCUUUUUUUGCUCAAUCUGUGCUUUACAUUGAAUAACACUAACUAGGUUUUUUUUUUAAUUGUUAAUAUUGGUGUUUUUCAGCUUCACGGUAGUUUUUUCGCCAGUGUCCACCAAAGCUCUGUCGAGAACUGUGAAUUGAGUGUGUUGUUCCCGUAAUUAUAUGUUGUGUGUUAGAACGUAGAACACUUCUCUUCAACUUUUGCAUUUGACGGAAGCACAUGUCUUCAUCCCUCGUUGAUAUACUUUGCCACCAAUAAUCAAUUUUGUUGAAGCACUUGUUUUCAAUUUCCGUUGAUGCUCUUUGUUAUAAAUACUCAAUUUUGUUGAAACGCACCUGUUUUCAACUCUUGUUGAUGCACUUUAUCAUCAACACCCUAUUUUUGUUGAAGCACGUAUCUUCAGUGGCGAAUCCACUCUUUAGGGUGGGGUGGUAUGGCACCUGCUACAUUGGUAAAAUUAUUAUAUAUUUAUGUAGAAUUUUUUUUAAACGAAGUUAAAUAUUUGAUCCCGCCACCCCCACUUGCAAACUAGACAAAUGUGUCAUAGCCGGUAGACCUUUUUAAAAGCUUUUCUCGUGUGUAAAAUUCAAGUUCGAAUUUAUCUUGAACCUUAUCUGACUUUCCCUUUUAGUUCUGCAUUUUAUUUCCUUUGUGCCAAUCAUUUUCCUUUUUGGCUACCUCCUAAUUUUCUAUUUAUCGUUUAUUAUUUUUUAUAUUUUUUUCUAUAUUCUAUUAUUUUAUUUGUGAUCUUUAACAAGAUCACUCAAAAAAGAGCCUCCAAAAUUUAAAAUUUCAUAAAAUAAGCAUCUCUCUUAAUCUCAAAUUCUUUAAAGUAAUUUUUUUCUUUCAAAAUCAAAAAACUUGGGUCUUGAUAGGAAUUUUGGAUUGAGAUCAACUUUAAUUUUUAUAAUUUUUUUAUUAUAACAUAAAAAUUUGUGCUAUUCUAUAAUUGUUAAAUACAACUUAAAUCUCUUUACUAUUAAAUUAUGAUGAAUAUUUCGCAAGCAUUGCCUAGAAAAAUAUGAGAUUUAUUAUUUUACUUUUUAGAAUCUUGUAAUUUAUCUAAUUCUGCAUUUACUCAUGGGGUAUAAUUUAUCUAUUGAAGAUUAUUUUUUAUUAUUCUUAUUCGGAUUGGUGAAAUUCCCUUAUUGGAGAUGUUAUUUUACUUGUGCAGAUUUAUUUUAGCAUACAAAAAAGAUGUAGUUCUCAAUUGAAAAUAUUGAGUACUUGUAUUGUUAAUAAUAAAGGUGUGAUUCCUUCUUUAAAAUGCUAAUUACAUUUGCUUCUUGAUGUCUGAGAUGUAAUUUUUAUUUAACAACAACAACAACAACAACAUAUUCAAUGAAAUCUCACAAGUAGUGUAUGCGAUCGAGAUGUAAUUUUUAUAUUUACAAAUAAAAAAAAUGCCAAUUAAAUUUCCCGAAUAAACUAAAAAAAAUGAACUGAACAAGCGUUCCGAACAAACUCUAUAUUAAUUAUUACAAGGUCUACAUUAAAGAAAAUUAUGGCACCCAUCACCUUCAAAUCCUAUAUCCGCCUCUGCGUAUCUUGUACUCCCAUUGAUACAAUUUGUCACCAACAUCCAAUUUUGUUAAAGCACCUGUCUCCAACUCACGUUGAUGCACUUUGUCACCAACUGUUGAUGUACUUUGUUACCAACACCCAAUUUUAUUGAAGCACAUGUCUUCAACACCCAUUGAUGUACUUUGUCACCAACCGUUGAUGCACUUUGUCAUCAACACCUAAUUUUGUUGAAGCACUUAUUUUCAACACCCGGUGAUACACUUUGUCACCAACACUCAAAUUUGUUGAAGCACGUAAUCAACUUCCAACUUUUUUAAACCUCUCUCCAACAUUUAGAGAAGAGUUUCUUCCUCUUGUGCCAUAUUUGUUUGCACCUCUUUAAACUUGUUUUUUUUUUCUUGAAUCUGUUUUGAAACUUUUCAUCGAAUAGUCUAAUUCUGUUGACAACUAUAUAUAAUUUUGCCAACAUAUUUUUUUUGGCCAGACGGGCGGCACACAUUGCCUUGCGCCGCCCGCCGGCUGCGGAAGCUACUUGAUUCUCUCCCAAGAUCGUAGAAAUUCUAAUACCAAUAUGAAGGAAAAUAUUUUAUUUAUAAAUUUAUGAAUGAUCCCUACAAUUCUUUAUUUCCUCCACACAUAAAAUAAGCUACCAAUACUCCUAUUUAUAAUAGUACGAAAUAUAUUUUAAUUAGAAACAUGAAAGCCUAUUCCAAUAUUAAUUAUGACUACAAAUCCUAUUUAGACAUGAAUUAAAUAAUUUUGCAAAUAUCAAAUCCUAAAUAAUUUAAGUAUCCUAUUAUAACUUUGAAUUAGUUUUCCAUAAGUGAUACAUACUACAUACGUAGUUUAAGAUGAUCUAAUCAAUUGAACAAGUUGAUUUAGACAAAUACAUCUAUUUUUUGGCUACGAAUGAGUUAGAAUGCUUUUACUCAAGACGGCAAGAUACUCGAGACAUAUGUUCACCACAAUCCAAGACGGAUUUAAGAUUUUUAUAACAUAAAUAAAUAAAAAGAAAGAAUUAAGUAGGAAUUGAUCCUUGCUCUUCUAGGUAAAUAACUCAAUAUUCAACCAAGUAUACCAUUUACUCCCUUCGUUUCAAAUUAGAUAAGAUACUUUCCUUUUUAGUCUGUUCCAAAAUAAAAAACACAUUUCUCAAUUUGGAAAUAAUUUAACUUUAAACUCUUCAUUUUACCCAUUUUACCCUUAAUGAGAAAUUUUUAUAACUACACAAAUGUUAUGGCCCCACAAAGCUUUUACCCCUUAAACUUUUAAGACCAUAAGUUUUAAAAAUAUUCUUCUAUUUUCUUAAAAUUCGUGCCGAGUCAAACUAUAUCAUCUAAAUUGAAACGAAAAGAGUAAUUUUUUUGGGAAUAUGAAUGCCAAGAUAAUAUUAGAUCUAUUCUAAAAGGCUGAAUAUAUACCCAAACCCUUAUACCUGUUAGGAUUUUUCAUUUAGACACUUAGACUAAAUGUUAUUCCUAUUAGACUCCUCAAUAAUAACUCAACCGUAUCUAUUAAACACAAACGGUUGACAUGGCAUCGAGCGUGUAACCCACAUUUUCUAAGAGAGUGAAAGACCUAAUUUUCUAUUUUACUUUUUUUCUCUCUCUCCUUCACCUCGAUCUUCCGCCACCACUCCAUCACCAUACUUACUAUCUCCAUAAACCAUAAGAAAGAAUCAUUUCUUCUAAUUUUAGUGCUUAAUCCUUCCAAAUAAACUUUUUUUUUUGCUGUCCCUUUUAGAAUUGCUCAGAUCAUCAUAUACAUCUAUUAAUCCCUCAUCUUUGGCCAGAGAAACCCCUCUUAAUUCAAUAACCAUGGUUGUAGCACAGGUAAGCACACAUAUAUAUGGAGCCAGUCUUGCUCAUUGCAUAGUCUUGAGUCAAAAUUGGCUUUGUCGGAAAAAAAGCCUUGUCGGAAGGAUCUUUGCCAAAAGUCUUUUCUGGUUAAUUGAUUUUUACAAUUUUGAUUUCUUUUAGAUUUAGUUCUUGUGCUGAAAGUAAGUAUAAGUUGAACAUAUUAUCAUGAUUUUCUUAAACUUUUUGAGUGUGAGUUGCUUGAGGAGCGCUGAAACUGGGGCGGUUUCUGGUCGUGAUAUCGGUACCAAUGAUGAUGAUGGUGCCAGGAAAAAGGAGGGGGAGUUUGUGACGAGCGCAAAACCGGCGUAUAAAAUUUAGGCUCGCUAGUCAAAGAUAGCAUAAUAUUAAAUCGUUUCCACAUGGAUUUCUUUAAAUAAUGUUCUAAUAAAUCUUCAACUCAACACUAUCCAUGAUAAUAAAACUUUGAUUGAUGUUGUUAUCGGCUACCAAUAAAACUAAGAUUAUUUAUUGUAAUAAACUAAUGUCACUUUAUGACUAAGGAUCAACGAUUGAAUAUCAGGGUGAGAAGUAAGGGUUGUGACAAGAUAUGUGAUCAACUAUUAUUUCGAGUAACUCUGGGUUAAGUUCAUUCUUAACUUCUAUUGACUUCUUCGAUUUCAACAGAUAAUUAGGUUACCUUAGGGAUUCAAACUCUUCUUUCGAAUGAAUGAGAGUUCCCUUAAUCAACCUAACAACAGGUCCUAUGAACAUAUGCAAAUGUAAUAAAUGAAUGAUAUUUUGAAGAACACCUCUCGAUUAUUCUUUUAAUCUAGGUUAAUUGAUAAACCUCUAAACUCUUUUGAUUGCAACAACACUUCUCUUUCAAUUAAAGUAAAAUCACAAUAAGCCUUAUAAUUCAAUUAAUAACUCAUCUAAUGAAUUCGGGCAAUUAACACAGAGUAAAACCCAAAACAAUAGUCAAAAAACGCAACAUCCAUUAAUAACCCUAAGCAAGAUUACUCCAUAAUGGAAAAGGUAUUCAUCACAAGAGUAUUAGAAGAACAAAAAGACAUUACAAUUCCCAAAUUCAAAUAAACUUCGGUAUUGAAUGAGUUGGAUCAAGUAUUUUGCGCUUUCAUUGUUUCCUUCCUUCUUCUAUCCCAAACAUUGCUCUCAAAAUCCAAGAUACCCUCUUUUUAGACGAGUUGGGCUUCAUAUAGGUCGAGAGAAGUUGCCUCCGAAAUUACAAAAAUAGGCUUGGAAAAUUUUUCGGACCGGACGUACGCGGCCGCGUACCUGGGUAGGUGAUCGCGCAUAUGGCCGUGCAUUUUGGACAGUGUUCUGCUCUACUUGCGCGCCCAGUGCGCGCUCGUGCACCUGGGUGGCUUCCUGCUCCAUUCUUCGCUUCUCUUCAUUAAGUGCAUUAUUGUCCGUUGAUCCUCGAUUACAAUCCCAAAUUAAUCUAUGAGUUUUUACUCAGACUUCAAAGCUCCAGAAUAUCUCGAAUUAGCUCCACAACCUCAUCAUAACUCGGAAUCGCUCCUACAAAGCAUAAAACAUACACUUAAUGCAAAAUAAUACCAUUUAAAGCUCAAACACUAGUAAAGUGCAGCGAAUUAGAGUGCAAUUAAUGGCCAAAAUACGCAAUUAUAGCCUACCAUCAAUACCCCACACUUAAACUAUUUCUCGUCCUCGAGCAAUCAAACUACACUUCACUUAAAAUAUGACCUUUUUCAACAACUCUCACGAAUUAUCACACCAAGACUCUUUAAAACAGAUUAAGUACAAUAUUGAACAUUUUAACCUCAAGAUUUGACUUAAAAGCACUACGCAUUAUCUAUAACCCGCUCACUUACUCUAACAUAGAGGUCAAGCAUUACCUUUCAUUCCUGAAUCCAGUGCCCUCACAUGACCAUAGAGAGUAAUUCCACACAUAAAAGAUAUUAAGAACAAUUAAGAACUCAAGAUAGAAAGAAUUCACCCACUCUCAGAAAUAACAGUCAUAUGCUACAAAAGACGUAUCAUAGGCUUGCCCGUAGUUUACUACUCUACUAAUUGAGUUCAUUCAGUCAAGGAUCAAGUAGGACUUUAAUUGGUUGUAAUGUAGGUUGCGGGACGGGUAGGAUACAUGUGGAUAUAAGAGUGACUACACCUCCCUAAGCACUUUCAAUACAUAUACUUAACCAUUCAACCCCACACUUAUGUCAAACCAUACUCCACUUUCACAUCAAAUUAUAUUAACUCGUUAUUUUUUUAAGCACAAUUACAUCAAGGGUCACCACUAUCAAAGAAUAUUUUGCACAACAAUUCACUUUUUCUUUCUUUUCUUUUUCCUCAAUUCAAGUGGCUAUUACUUUUUCAAACUAGUGCACCUGUCUCCUUAUUUUAUUAGUUCCACUCAAAAACCAAACCAACCACCCCACACUUCAACUUUUCCAAAGUUCACAAUAAUUUCAAGUGCUCAUGGGAGGUAAAAGGUUCAAAUAGAGGGUCAAUUCAAACAAAUGGGUAAGGCUUGUAAUGUGGUUGCCAAAGAAACAGAAUUACAGGUUCAAAGGGGUUAACUAAGAUACAUAAUAAUUAGGUGGAUAAGGCAUAUAACUGGCUCAAUAAAGAAAUGCCUAUAUCACUUCCAAGACUGAAUUAACUACCAUUUCACUUUGCAAACACACAAGGCAAGUUCUAGUCAUCAAAUGCAAUGCAAUGAAUAAUACAAAAUCUCACCCACACAUGGCUCAUACUCACUCAGAAUCGGACUCAUCAAGACACUCUAGUCAAAGAUGUUAAGCAAAGUCGAGAACAUACAAUUUACGGUAUUUCUACGAGAGUCAAAAAUUAAGCCUAAGCGUCACAACUAGAGUACUCACUAUUCUCAAAGCAUAAUAGAAUCCAGAGAUGUUGCCUUCCAUUCAAAUCAGAGUUAAGGGUGCCUACUCCUAACAAAAAAAUAAAACUAACUACACCCGGUUCAAUCAAAAUCCUUAAAAAAGAACCGCGGCAUAAAAAAUAUCAAGGGGAAAUUAAUACACUACCUAACAAGAUAAAAUAUUUUUGUCUUUUUCUUUCAACUUUAAUCCCUCAAGAAACCCGUCGAAUGAUAUCCAUUGUCGGGAAAAAUCGAAAAUUUUAAAUUUUUUUUAUGUAUUUUUGUUUUUGUUUUUCAUCUAUCUCUAACUACUGCAACUAACAUCAACAAACUACAACUACCAAAACAAAACUCAGAUACAUAAAACAUACAAAUAUUUCUCACCCCACACUUUUAAAUGGUGGAAUGUCCCCAUGGCACAUAAAGAAAAAUGUAAAGGUGAAGAAAACUCCCCUGAUCAAUUCAGUCUGUGUCGGAGACGGUUCUGGGGUCCAGAUGACAAGCCCGACCAAGUGCACGCAGCCAUACCAUAAUAUUCCUCUCAGAUUUGGUAUUAUGUGUAGCAAGGGCAUCCACUCGAGCUUCCAGGUCAGUGACAAAGGUACGCAUCCCCGCCAUUUCCUGCUCUAAAGCGCUCAUUCUUGUUUCCCAACUGCCACCUGAAGUUACCCCAACACCCGGCUCAUGUGGUGGAGAAGCAACGACAUCCUCAUUGCCCUCUUCGGGCGCAUCAAAUUCCUCGCUAUCCGCCUCAGCGGGCCCAACAAGGUCCUUCCCGAUUACAACUCUAUCAGCCCGAAAUUUAUGUUCGCGCUUUACCUUUCCAUCCAAGUCCCUGUUUUUUGGUACUCGUGCCAUACGGCAUAACCGAGUGACUAAUGAUGGGAAAAAUAACCCAUACCUCUACACAGGACAGCGAAUCAACAUCUCGGCCUGAAGGAUCUCAGUCACAUCAAAAUCGUGGCCAUUGACAAAGCACCAAAUCAGAGUCGCCCGAGGACUAUUCACCUCAGUAAUGUUUCCUGAAGGCAGCAGGCGAUUAUUGAUAAUGUAGAGCCAGCACUUCCCUUCAAAUAUCAGCGAAGUCGAGUGAAACUUUCUCCUCUCCUUGAUCCACACUACCUCCUUGCCAGGUACAGAAAUGGUGGCUAAGAACAUGCGCCACAAGUAUGGUUCUCUGCUGUACGUGGCGUAGUAGUCAAUUGUAUCCAGAUCUUCCACAAAUUCCGGCAAAUGAUAGGCCCUUCGGAUAGCCUCUUUGGAGAAGUCUACUCUCUUCUUUUUGAUUGUGCAGACAUGAGCGUCAUGUUCCGGGGCAGUUAGCAUUAAACUCCCGAAAAACCAUUAAGUUCGCCUCGUCAGGUUCUUCAAAGAAUAUCUCCAAGCCGCUCCUGACCAAUUCAUGAUACACACGGGGACAGUCAUUCUGGAGGGACCCAAUAUCAAUUUCCCUUUCCGGCAUGGGCUUCUUGCUAGCCUUGUGUUGGAAUCGUUCCUCUGCUUCCUAGGAGACGAACAUGUUUUGAUCAUACGGGUGAGCAUAUGCGGAAGCUCGUGACCGGGAUGUGCCCGCUUGACCACUUGUGGAGGCAACUGUGAAUUUUUGUUUCUUGGAUGGCACCAUAUUACCCGCAACAAACCGUCAACUAUUAGCUAAUGAAUCACAUGGAAAACCAAGAGAGGCUACUCAGACUUCAACCUUAUACUUGGUCACAACAUUUCACCCACAAUUUCAUUGAGGCAAUUACACAAACACUUAACAAGCACAGUUCUUCCUAACCCCCAAAAUUCAACUUCAGCCCUAAUUAGCCUAAAGAUACACCAAUGUCACACCCAACCACUAUAUGGUCAGUCUCUAUGGUGAAACUCGACAUCCCACCCCCUAAGAAAAGGAGCAUAAAAGGAGAGAAAACAAAAAUAAAAAUUUGCUACAAUACAAGAAAGCUAAAAUAAAAUAAAACUAAGAAAAGAGAGAAAGCAAGCAUCUCACUUACUUGAGGGGGCUCGGGAGAGAACUCGUGAGGAUGGGUGGAGAGAGAAGAGGAGAGGGGGCGGUGUUUUGUGUUUUUUCUUACAGAGAGGAGAUGAAAAGGGGGGGUUGUUAGGGUUGAUUAGUGUAGGGGAGAGAAAGAGAGAAAUUUUAGAAGUGGGGAUUUUGAUAGGGGAAAGUCCGAAAUUAAAAAGGAAAAGGGAAAAAACUUACAUGAUGCGCGGUCGGUGCGUGGUCAGUGCGCGGUUAGUGAGCGGUCGCGCAUGUGAGGCAGUACACUAGUGAAAGUGCACGACUAGGUGUGCGGUCACCCCAUCAGGUGCGCGGCCGCACAUGUUUCGCAUCGUGUAACGUUGCUUAUUGCGCGACCAAAUGCGCGAGGUGCACCCCCAGGUGCGCGGUUGUGCACGGAUACACUCAAAAUGGGUCUUUUAGACACCUUAGUUCCUACCUUCCACAACAUGUACCUUCAUGCACCUACCACAUCAUACUAUACAUUAAUUUCUAUCUAUUCUACACUAUAAAUAAAAGUGAAAAAUCUAACUAAUAGAAGAGUUAGAACUAGUUCUAAGUUAUAGUCGUGAGCUUGACUCAACCGGGCAUCCUCAACUGAUUUUGUUGUAACUUUCUGUUCCGUCCUGGUUCUGGAUCUCAAUUGUCCCAUAUGGUGAUACAUGUUUCACCAUAUACGGUCCCGUCCAUCUAGACUUAAAUUUUUCGGGGAACAAUCUGAGUCUACUAUUGUACAGUAAGACUCUGUCCCCUUCAUAAAACUCCUUUGGCUUAAUCAGAUGAUCAUGCCGCCUUUUAGUAUUUUUCUUGAAAAUGCAUUUUCAUACGCGUCCAGUCUAAACUCUUCUAAUGCAUUCAUCUGUGCCAACCUGUGUUCACCUGCAAGACUAAGAUCAAGAUUAAGCAUCUUAAUUGCCCAAUAAGUUUUAUGUUCUAUAUCAACAGGUAGGUGACACAAUUUUCCAUAUACUAGUUUGAAUGGUGAAGUCCCUAUGGUUAUUUUGAAUGCAGUUCUGUACACUCAUAGAGUUUCUUCCAACUUUACCGACCAAUCCUUACGAGAAGCACUAACCGUCUUUUCAAGAAUUCGUUUAAGUUCACGGCUAGCCACUUCGACUUGCCCACUAGUCUGGGCAUAGUACGGGGUUCCCGUUUUGUGUGUGACCCCAUACUUGGACAGUAGUGCAGCAAACUGCUUGUUCACAAAGUGUGACCCAUUGUCACUGAUAAUCACUUUAGGUGUCCCAAAACGGGUAAAGAUGUUUUUCCUUAAGAAUUCACACACCACCCGAGCAUCAUUGGUCCUAGUAAGGAUUUCUUCGACCCACUUAGAGUCGUAGUUAAUGGAUACUAGGAUAAACUCAUAAGAGUGUGACGAUGGGAACGGACCCAUGAAGUCAAUGCCCCAAACGUCAAAGAUUUCACAUACCAGAAUGGAGUUGAGAGGCAUUUCGUCCCUCUUGCUAAUAUUACCUACCCUUUGACACUUGUCACAUGCAGCUACAUACGCUCUCGCGUCUUUGUACAAGGUAGGCCAAAAAAUAACCGGCUUACAUGACCUUUGCUGCAGUGCGAUUCCCACCAUAGUGUUCUCCAGCUGCUCCAUCGUGGCAAUGAGACAGAAUGAUGGCCAUUUCGCCUUCAGGCAUAUAUCUUCGAAUCACACCAUCUGCACACAGUUUAAACAAGAAGGGGUCAUUCCAAAAAUAAUAUUUUACCUCACCUUGCAGCUUCUUUUUCUUAUCGGAGGUCAAGUCGUGUGGUAGCCACCCACUAGCCAAGAAAUUGGCUAUGUCGGUGAACCAUGAUGGUCUAUCAAAGACUGCUGCAAUGGAAAAUAUUUGCUCAUCUGGGAACUCUUCCCGAAUGUCCACCACUUCAACAGGUGGUUUCUCCAAUCGCGACAGAUGGUCAGACACUUGAUUUUUUGUGCCAUUCGUGUCCUUGAUUUCUAGAUCAAAUUCUUGCAGCAACAAUACCCACCGCAUAAGAUGCGGUUUGGACUCUCUCUUACUCAGUAAAUAUUUCGGUGCUGAGUGAUCAAUAUGCACUAUUACCUUGCUUCCCACCAAAUAGGAUCUGAACUUGUCAAAAGCAAAUACUACUGCAAAGAACUCCUUCUCCGUGGUAGCAUAGUUCACUUGAGCAUCAUUCAAGGUCCGACUUGCAUAGUUAAUGGGUCGGAACAGUUUAUCUCUCCUCUGCCCCAGCACUGCUCCUACUGCCACAUCACUGGCGUCGCACAUUAUCUCAAAAGGCUCACUCUAAUUAGGAGUCACCAUUAUGAGGGCACUCACUAGCUUCUCUUUGAUCUAUUCGAAAGCUCUGAGACACUCCACAUCAAACACAAAUUUUACAUACUUGGCAAGUAAUGCAGUCACGGGCUUGGUAAUGCUGGAAAAAUUCUUAAUGAACUUUCUAUAGAAACCAGUAUACCCCAAAAAACUUCGGAUGCUCGUCACUGAGGACGGUGGUGGGAGCUUGGCUGUCAUGUCUACUUUAGCUCUGUCAACUUCAAUACCUUCAGAUGUGACUUUAUGGCCCAGGACUAUCCCCUCCUUAAUCAUGAAGUGACACUUUUCCCCGUUUUGUACUAGGUGAGUGUCCUCAUAUCGUUUUAGAACAAGUUUGAGGUUCCUCAAGCAAUCUUCAAAGUCAUCUCCAAAUAUAGUAAAGUCAUCCAUGAACACUUCCAGACACUUGAAAAUAUUGACAUCAUGUAUCUCUAGAAAGUAGCCGGUGCAUUGCAUAGUCCGAAAGGCAUUCUCCGGUAUGCAAAGAUUCUGGACGGGCAUGUAAAUAUGGUUUUCUCAACAUCCUCGGGAGCAAUGGGUAUUUGAUUAUACCUUGAAUAUCUAUCUAAGAAGCAGUAACAUCCACGCCUCGCCACCUUCUCCAACAUCUGAUCAAUGAAAGGAAAGAGGGAAGUGAUCCUUCCUUGUUGCAUCAUUUAAUUUCUGGUAGUCAAUGCAGAUCCUCCACCCAGUAAGUGUUCUGGUAGGAAUUAGCUCGUUGUCCUCAUUUAUUACCACCGUCAUGCCCUUUUUUUGGGCACAACAUGUACAGGGCUGAUUCAUUGACUGUCAGAGAUGGAAAUUAUUAUGUCUGCAUCCAACAAUUUGAGUAUCUAUUUUUGAACCACCUCCUCAAGAGUUUUGUUCAAUUUGCGCUGGGGCUGCACCACUGGUUUACUCCCUUCUUUUAACAGGAUCUUGUGCAUGCAUAUUACGGGGGUUGAUCCCCUGAAUAUUGGCUAUACUCCAGCCGAUUGCCUUUCUAUGCUUCUGUAGUAACUCCACAAGCAUGUCUUCCUGUUCACCUGUCAAAUCAGCAGCAACAAUCACGGGAAAAUUAUUAGUCUCCAAAAAAGCAUAUUUCAAAUGUGUCGGGAGUACUUUCAAUUCCAGCUUCGGCUUGCUCUUUUCUUUCUCGAAUUCUUCUUUAUCUACCACCUAGUUCUCAUUUUCCAGCGGCUCAACUUCCUUCUUGAUCUCAGGAUCUUCAUCCUCUGUUGUGCUUGAUUGACUAAUGCAUCUCUCCAGUGAGUCACCUACCAGCUUAUCCAGUUUGUGUUGUUCAGCUACUUCUCUCACCACAUCUAGCUUGAGACAAGCAUAGGCAGAUGCCUCGUCACAUGGGUAUUUCAUCAUUCUCUUUAUUUGAAACACCACAUUUUCGUUUCCCACUCGUAGCAUGAGUUGCCCCUCAUUUAUAUCAAGAAUAGCCCAGCCAGUGCAAAGGAAUGGUCUCCCCAGGAUUAGAGGUACCUCCUUAUUCUCUUCCAUAUCUACCACGAUGAAGUCUACUGGGAAUACAAAUUUGUCUACCCUUACCAGAAUGUCCUCAAUUAUGUCCUCCGGUAUGAUCGUGGUCUGAUCACCCUGUUGCAAGGAUACUGGCACAGAUUUGAUCACUACUAGCUCUCUUUCUAAUUUCUUGAACACCGAUAAUGGCAUCAAGUUAAUGGAUGCACCUGAAUCGCACAAGGCUUUGUCAAAAUUUUCGCUACCCAAUGAGUAAGGUAUAGUGAAACUGUCAGGAUCCCCACACUUCUUGGAAAUUUUGUUCUGUAGAAUGGCACUGCAGUGGGCAUUAAGUUUGUCUAUUCUCAUUUCCUUGAUCUUCCUUUUUCUUGAGAGGAUUUCCUUCAAGAACUUUGCAUAGGCUGACAUCUGUGUGAGCACCUCCGUGAACGGGAUGUUAACAAUGACAUGUGCUUUCUUUCCUCAACUGCGUUGUUCACCUUCUGCUUAUCAACAUCCUUGCUGCUUACAUUCUCCUUGGGUAAAGACUCACCGAUUUUCUAUUCUUCAGCUAUCUUGGUUGAGUUGAUAUCUUUCUCAUCCCUUGGUUUUGCCUUUGGCUAUGCUAUUGUUUUCCCACUCCUGAGAGACACAACUUUGAUUAUCUCUUUUGGAUUCUUUUCAGUGUCUGCCGGCAAAGUCCCCGGUGCCCUUUUUGACAACAAUGUUGCAAGCUACCCCAUUUGUCUUUCUAGAUUCCGGAUGGCUGUGCCUUGCUCCCUAAUAGUGGUCUCUUGAGUCUCAAGUUUCUCGUCAGAUUUAUUUAUAAAUGCCUUCAUUAGAUCUUUUAAACUUGAGUUGUUGGGCUGUGGAGGUUGAUAUGGUUGCCUUUGUUGAGUUUGGAAAUCAGGAGGUCCUUUCACUAGUGCUCUGGGAUUUUGCUGUUGCCAGGAGUUCAAACUACCAGUUGAAGAACUCCAUGAGAACCCUGGAUAUCUUUGUCCCAUAGAAUUGAAAUUAUCACAUCCUUGGUAGUUGCCUCUGUUGAAGUUCCCCACAACGUUGACUUCCUCGGUUGUAGCUUGACACUAAUGUGUCGGGUGUCCUAAUCCAUAGAUGUCACAUCCCACCUGUGAUUGAUUUUUCACCUGAGCUAGCAUCAGUAGCUUGAUGUCCUUAGCCAUAGCUGCAAUUUGAGCCUGCAUUACUACCGACGAUUCAACUUGGUGCACCCCUGCUAAUCUUCUUCGGUCCCCUUGAUCAGUGGACCAUUGUUCUGUGUCUUCAGAUAGUUUAUUUAGAAGAGUGACAAUCUCUUCAGGAGUUUUCUUCAUCAGAGGACCUGCAACUGCACUACUCAGGAAUCUCCAUGAUGACAGGUUUAAACCGUCCCAGAAGUCCCGGAGUUGCAUCCAUUGCUCCAUUCCGUUAUGAGGGCACCUUCACAAUAGCUCCUUGAAUCUUUCCCAUGCCUCGAACACUGUCUCCUCAUCACCUUGGCUGAAAUUAUGAAUCUCUUUCCUCAUUUGUCUAGUCUUAGCGGUAGAGAAAUAUUUUUCUAAGAACUUGGUAGUCAUCUCCUCCCACGUACGGAUUGACCCUGUGGGAAGACUUCUCAACCACUGCUUUGUAUCAUCCUUAAGAGAGAACGGGAGUGCUCUGAGGUAGAUGGCAUCAUGCGAUAAUCCAUUGUAACGGAAUGUAUUCAUAAUUUUGUCGAAGUCCAUCAGAUAGUUGUUGGGAUCUUCAUUGGGUUUCCCUCUGAAUAUGCAAUUAUUCUGAAUGGUCUGGAUGACUCCCUGUUUGAGUUCAAAAUUAUUGGCAUCAAUGGGUGGGGGUCUCACACUAGACUGUUGUUGGUUGUACACCGGUUUGGCAUAAUCUCCUAACAACCUCCUAGGUCUAGGAGCUGCAUUUUCAAAUUCAUCUUCUAUCACAUUUCGAUUGGGAUUGAACCUUCGCUCCCCGUUGACCAUCUCAUCCGCAAUUCUGGCUACUUUAGCAGCUAACCGUGCUUCCCGUUACUGAGCCGCCUCUCUCGUAACUAGGUCCACUACCUCUUCGUUGUUUACCAUAUUAUUUUGAGUUGAAGGCUGACCCAACAACAAUCCACUCGAUCCUUUCUCUCUUCUCAACUGCCUCAGGUGCUUGUCUAACUCUGGGUCGUAUGGCACCAAGUCCUUUGAAGAGGAUCGAGUCAUACACUGCUAAACUUAACCCGUGGCCUGCACACAGAUGAGAAGAACGUAAGAAAGGAAAAUAAAAUAAAGUUGUUCUUGAAUUAGCACUGAAAAUUAAUUUAAACACUAUUAAUCGCCAAUCCCCGGUAACGACGCCAAAAUUUGACGAGCGCAAAACCGGUGUAUAAAACUUAGGCUCGCUAGUCAAAGAUAGUAUAAUAUUAAAUCGUCUCCACAUGGAUUGGUUUAAAUAAUGUUCUAAUAAAUCUUCACUUCAACACUAUCCAAGAUAAUAAACCUUUCAUUGAUGUUGUUAUCGACUACAAAUAAAACUAAGAUUAUCUAUUGUAAUAAACAAAUGGCACUUUAAUGACUAAGAAGCAACGAUUGAAUAUCAGGGUGAGAAGUAAGGGUUGUGACAAGAUAUGUGAUCAACUAUUAUUCCGGAUAACUCUAGGUUAAGUUCAUUCUUAACUUCUAUUGACUCAUUCGAUUUCAAUAGAUGAUUAGGCUACCUUAAGGAUUCAAACUCUUCUUCUGAAUGAAUGAGAGUUCCCUUAAUCAACCUAGCAACAGGUCCUAUGAGCAUAUGCACAAGUGCAGUGAAUGAAUGAUCUUUCGAAGAACACCUCAAGAUUAUUCUUUUAAACUAGGUUAAUUGAUAACUCUCUAAGCUCUUUUGAUUAUAUAGAAGAGGCGUAAAAUCAACCUAAACGAUAUGGCACAAUGCAAAUUACAGCAAUACUUCUCUUUUGAUUAAAGUAAAACCACAAUAAGUCUUGCAAUUCAAUUAACAACUCAUUCAAUAAAUUCGGGCAAUUAAGAGAGAGUAAAACCCAAAACAAUAGUCAAAUCACAACAUCCGUCAAUAACCCUAAGCAAGAUUACUCUAUAAUGGAAAAAGUAUUCAUCAUAAGAAUAUUAUAAAAACAAGAAGACAUUACAAUUCCCAAAUUCAAACAAACUUUCGUAUUGAAUGAAUUGGAUCAAGUAUUUUACGUUUUCGUUGUUUCCUUCCUUCUUCUCUCCCAAAAGUUGCUCUCAAAAUCCAAGAUACACUUUUUUUAGACGAGUUGGGCUUCAUAUAGGCCGAGAGGAGUCGCCUCCGAAAUUAUAAAAAUAGGCUUGGAAAAUUUUCCGAACCGGACAUGCGCGGCCGCGCACCUAGGCAGGUGAUCAUGCAUAUGGCUGCACGCUUUGGACAGUGUUCUAAUCUACUUGAGCGCCCAGCGCGCGCUCGCGCACCUGGGUGGCUUCCUGCUCCAUUCUUCGCUUCUCUUCGUUAAGUGCAUUAUUAUCCGUUGAUCCUCGAUUAAGAUCCCAACUUAAUCCAUGGGUUUUUACUUAGACUUCAAAACUCCAGAAUAGCUCGAAUUAGCUGCACAACCUCAUCGUAACUCGGAAUCGCUCCGACAAAGCAUAAAACAUACACUCGGUGCAAAAUAAUACCAUUUAAAUCUCAAACACUAGUAAAGUGCAGCGAAUUAGAGUGCAAUUAAUGGCCAAAAUACGUAAUUAUAGCCUUCCAUCAGUUUGAUUCUGGGUAAACAUAUAAACUGUGCCUAUUCUUUACUCAAAAUAUAAAAGAGGAGGAGUUUCCGGUGGCAGUACUCCAACAAGAAGACGUUAGAGAAAGAGGGCGGGGGACAUCUGUAAAAACAGUUGAAAUUUAUUUACUCAAAAUUUUUAUUAUUAUCUAAGCUCAAAUGCGACGCGUCACAAUUUUAUUGGUCACUUUGCCAUGUCAUUUGUGUGUGACUUUCACACGUCUUCUUUUUUCAUCAGAUGUUAGUGAAUGGCCUAAUAAGCACAGUAGAGCCUUUGUUCAGGUGUUCAAUAGGAACAACCUUUAGUUCGAGUGUUUAAAUGAAAAAUUUGGAUAAGUUAAGAGAUUGCGUAUGUAUUCAGCCAUUCUAAAAAUAUAUACAUAAAAUAUAUAGUUUGGCAGAGAAAUUAUAGGUUCAUGUGCCCCAUAUAUUGGGCUACAAUUCCGCCCUUGACCACAACAUCCUAGUGCAAAGACCUGAAGAUAGUCAGUGUGAUUUCUUCAUUAUAAAAGAGACAAAAGUAGGACCUGCUCAAGAGGGUACCAGGUAUGCCUGUUAAUCGAGUCGGCCAGCCUAAUUACAGCCUGGUUCGACCCCGGUCAGCCCGGUACGCUAGGGGGUGGGAUGGGUUGGGUGAGAGUUGGGGGAGAGCCGGUCUUGAACGAAUAUUUUUUGGCUACCGGUGCGCCAGAACUCGGUUAGCCCGGUCCAACCCGGUUUAUGUUGUAAUUAUUUUUUAAACUUCUGACUGUUGUCAACGGUCAAAAUAAAAAAUGACCGUUGGGCAACGGUCAUUUUUUGCACUUUUAGCCAUUUCGGCCUAUCCCUUACUAAAAUAGCCCCUCCAUCCCCUCGAUAAAUUAUAUUCUUAGCCUUUUAAUAACUAUAAAUAGCCCCCCCUCUUCUUCAUUUAUUUCACAACUUGCUCUCUUCUUCUACUCUAAUUCUCUCUCAAUUCCCUUUUGAUUAUUGAAUUGUUUAUUGCUCUCAAGUUCUCAAUUAAUUAAUAUUUCAAGUUUUAUCAAUUAUUUACGGUAGCCACUAUAAAUUACAAUUAUCAAGUGAAGUGUGGUUACCAUUUUUGUUAGGUUCAAGUUAAAUCAUGUCCCGUGCUUCUAGAGUGCGUUCACAUAUUUGGGAACACUUUGAGGUGGUAGAAGAAAAUGAAGAAGUUCGCAAAGUAGAGUGCAAGAACUGUGGUCGAGUCUUUAAUGUUCAUCGAAAGUGGGAGGGCACGGUUUAAGGAGGCAUAUCAGGGGUUGUCUUGUGCGUCCUCCAGGAAUUCGUAUUUAAGUUGAUUUGAGACAAUUUGGGUUAUUUUGAAUUUCUUAGACUUAUUUAAGUUUAAUGUGUUAGUUUAUAAGACAAGUUAAUUUGAAGUAUUAUUAUGCAAUGAAAAUAUGAAAUGAAAGCCUUUGAAGUUUGAUCCUUAUGUAUUGGUCUUAUUAAAUAAUUUUAUGUAGCCACUUAAUUUCAAUUUUCAAAUUUUAAAAUUCAAAUUUUAAAUUUAAAACUUUAAACUUUAAAGUUUAAAAGUUUAAUUUUAUGUCUUAAAAUACUUAUUUUAUUAUUUAAAAGUUAGCAAACACUUAAGUAACAAUUACAUUGAACAAGGAAACAUAAUACACUAAAAAAAAUUAACCCGGCCCAAUAAGCCCGAAUCCGGACGGGCCCACCAAAGCCCGGAAUUUCCCAUCCCACUACCAGCCCGGAAUUCCAGCGUACUAACCAGCCCGCCCCACUAACCAGCUCGCCCCACUAACCAGACAGGCUGUUGUUUUUCAUGUCCAGCUCGAUCCAGCCCGUUCCGUUAACACGCAUGGUACCAGACUACCAUGUUUAAAUACUAAAGUUGUCCUUUUGAAUCAGCUUAUUUUGCGUAAAAAAGUUAUUUACGCAAUUGCAAUGCUACACUAGAUAAGUGGCAAUGCAUUAUGCAGGUGCUAAAGAGCUUCACAGAAAUGCAAACUGGCUGAAAAAGUCGUUCACUCCCUAUUCUUUAAGAGGUUGCUUGCAACUGUAGCAUUAGAUAGGCAAUUAAUGCAGGUCAAACAGAGUCAGUCCUAAGGUAAAGAUCAUUGGAUGAAAAAAUGGAUUGAGCUGGCUAAUCACUUGAUGAUCCGGUAGAGAACGGUAACAGAGUCGCUCCCACAAACGAAUGAAUGGAACUCAUGUUCUAUCCUAAACUAUAGAUAUGAAAGAAAAAAGAAAGAUACAUAUUCCUAUGGUAGGAAUAGUACGAUUUUUUUUAUUCCUAGCCGCGUUCCAACAGUGAGUCAAAACUGUUGAAAAACAAUUGUUUGUGUUUGAUCAUAUAUACCAUUUGCCCGCAAAAUAAUAUUUCAGAAUUUGUAAAUUCUAAAUUUCAACAUAAAACUUACUUGAGAAAUAUUUCAAGUAAAAUACACUAGUUUCGCUCUCAACUUUUUACUAAUGUUUUUCCAGUAAAAUUCGUGUUCAAAUACAAUUUCUUUUCCAACUUCAUCUUUUAUUUUUCUUUUUUUUUGGCAAAUAUCUUAAUUUUCUCAACCUCUACAAAAACUCUGUUUUUACUCUUAUGGUUUGCCCCUUCAGUAUUGUUAAGAAUGCUAUUGGACUUGCAAUUACAUACAAGCCUGCACCGGAGAAACUAUCCGUGGCAUCAUGAUGUGACCUCCAAAGACAUUUGCACUUUUUUGCUGAUGUGAAUUUUACCUCAUAUUCUGUACCCCUCGGAUUCUUUUUUUAAGUUUUGAAAAACAAUUUAAUUUUUCUUAACUCUAAAUUGGUAAAAUUUACCAACGGACAACUUGAGAAGAAAAGAGUACGAUUUAAUUAGCUUAAUUAGUUUCCAAAAUUCAAAGUGACAAAACUUAGAAGCAGCUGUUACACUAAAAUUCUUACUCUAAAUUGGAAGUGUACGGAGAAAUUUUUGCUAUUGCUUUCUUUUGGGGUAAGUACUAUUGUAGCAAAAUUCAACAUCUAAUGUUCCAUUUUUCACCCUAAAGUUUUUUACUCUCCAAUAAAAUCGAUAAAAAUGGAAGACAAGUAAGAGAACUCAAAUAAUUGAAGUAAAUCAAUGAAAUAAAGGAGUGAAAUAUAUUCAAUACAUAGAGCCGACCAAAAUAUCACAAUGAAAUCAUAUCUCAUAAAGCUACGAUAUCUAGAAUCCAUAAACACAGUAGAAAAUCCAUAACCUAUACACAAAACGAAGCACUUCCUAAUAUAUCAUAUAUACGCUGCACAACACCACAAAACUCACGAAGCAAACUGAAAUGCAAACAAUGAACCGCAGCAGAACUUC
rnacentral:lncRNA from 1 species